ACCUAACAUAAUCGCAACCACCCUCACCAGCAGCCCCUACCUUCAUUGUCUAAUUAAGGUAACGCAUGAGUUGGAGGGCUUGUGCUGUCACAGUAACAGUAACUUCUAGAUCUACUCAUCCUGUUUCCUGAAAUGGCAGACCCUGCCAAAAACUACUGUAUGUACAGAGGGGACACAGAUAUCCUGUUGUUUGCUUUGCACCACAGUUGAAAUAUCGGCAUCAAUCUUGUAUUGUGUGUGUGAUUCCUCUGAAGUCACUCUUGUUGCUCUUGUGUGUGUGAUGAUAUUGAUUGAUUUGAUAGAGCUGGUAAU